UACGUAGGGUGCGAGCGUUGUCCGGAAUUAUUGGGCGUAAAGGGCUCGUAGGCGGUUUGUCGCGUCGGGAGUGAAAUCCUUGGGCUUAACUCAGGGCUUGCUUCUGAUACGGGCAGACUGGAGGUAUGCAGGGGAGAACGGAAUUCCUGGUGUAGCGGUGAAAUGCGCAGAUAUCAGGAGGAACACCGGUGGCGAAGGCGGUUCUCUGGGCAUGGCCUGACGCUGAGGAGCGAAAGUGUGGGGAGCGAACAGGAUUAGAAACCCCCGUAGUCC
rnacentral:rRNA from 1 species